UCCAUAUCCACCUUGUGUGCAAUGUCAUCUCACUGGGGUCACGGCUGUAAAACGCCGGCGGCUCGUUUGGGAUUUAUAUCUACUCAGAAUUUUAAUCAUUUUGUCUGAAACAUAUUAUGAAUAACUUAAUUCAAAAUACAACUUUCAACAACGGAUCUCUUGGCUCUCGCAUCGAUGAAGAACGCAGCGAAAUGCGAUACGUAAUGUGAAUUGCAGAAUUCAGUGAAUCAUCGAAUCUUUGAACGCAUAUUGCGCUCUCUGGUAUUCCGGAGAGCAUGCUUGUUUGAGUAUCAGUAAACACCUCAACUCUAUUUCUUCUUGAAAUGGAGCUGGACUUGAGUGAUCCCAACGCUUUUUUCAAAAGUGGCGGGUUACUUGAAAUGCAGGUGCAGCUGGACUUUUCUCUGAGCUAAAAGCAUAUCUAUUUAGUCUGCCUAAAAACAGAUUAUUACCUUUGCUGCAGCUAACAUAAAGGAGAUUAGUUCUUGUGCUGACUGAUGCAGGAUUCACAGAGACAGCUUCGGCCGUCUUUGUAAACUCGAUCUCAAAUCAAGUAAGACUACCCGCUGAACUUAAGCAUAUCAAUAAGCGGAGGAAGGGAUCAUUCAUAAUCAAGUGUUUUUAUGGCACUUUAAAAAUCCAUAUCCACCUUGUGUGCAAUGUCAUCUCACUGGGGUCACGGCUGUAAAACGCCGGCGGCUCGUUUGGGAUUUAUAUCUACUCAGAAUUUUAAUCAUUUUGUCUGAAACAUAUUAUGAAUAACUUAAUUCAAAAU
rnacentral:rRNA from 1 species